AUGGCGGGGAUGGCGCAGAGCGCGGUGGACUCUCUGCUGGGGAGGCUGAGCGCGCUGCUGGUGGACGAGGCGCAGCUGCUGCGCGGCGUCCGCGGCGACGUGCGGUUCAUCAGGGACGAGAUGGAGAGCAUGAACAGCCUUCUCGCCCACCUCACCGAGGCGGAGCACCACGCCCACCACGUCCGCACGUGGAUGAAGCAGGUGGUGGGCCUCGCCCGCGACAGCGAGGCCUACGUGGAGCUCUUCGCCCGCCAGGUCAGCGGCGGCCCCCGCGCCGGCGAGGGCCUCCUGGGCUCCCUGCGGAGGAUGCUCCAGUUCCUGAGGACCAUCCCUGUCCGGCACCGCGUGGCGACCCGGAUCCGGGAGCUCAAGGACGACGUGGAGAAGCUGCAGACAACCACACCGAAUACAGAUGUCACUGAACUUCCAAAGCAAAUAGAGAUGCUAACAUGCUUGGAGACAUUGGACAUCCGGCAAACGGCAGUAAGGGCGUUCGCCACAAAGUCUAUUAUGCUUCCAAUGCUAAAGCAUAUGCUUGCUGGGGAGAGUCAGACAUGCCCUCCUCCUUCGAACCACAAUCCUGAGAGGUUUCAAGAGUCAUUUGUGGGGGUGCGCCUUCCCAAUGGCGUCCAAAGAAUGGGAAAACUGGAGAUGUUGUCUCAUGUUGAUGUUUCCCACAGUGUUGAUGAUAUGAUCAGCAUCGGACAACUGCUGCGACUAAGGAAACUAGGUGUGAUCCUCACUAGGAAGAAGAGAGAUGGCUUGUUGGAUCUUUUGUUCCAACAGAUUGAGAAGUUGCAUGGUUGCCUCCGUUCCUUGUCAAUCCAGGUCAACCAUCCGGUUACAAGUGACGGUGUUAUUAUUCAUGAUGAUGCAGACGAGGUGCAUGCAUUGGGCUCGCCUCCGAAACUCCUUCGGAGCCUAAACAUCAGAGGCAUAAGAAAUGGGCUCCUUGGCUGGAUCGCAGAGCUCGAUAAGCUCGUCAAGUUAACACUGAGCGAAACUUACCUUGGGGAAGAUGCUCUAGGCAUCAUUGGCAAUCUUGGAGUUCUAGCUUGUCUCAGGCUUCUGCACAAGUCGUACAACGGAAGCAAGCUCCACAUCAAGAAAGGAGAGUUCAUCAGUCUCAAGUCUUUGAUCGUCCGAGGCAACGACAUCACCAGCAUUCACUUUGAAGGAGGUGCAUCACCUAAGCUCGAGAUGUUUGUGUGGUCUUUUGCCAGAAUGGAGGCCAUGGACGGACUCGAUGAGCUUUACCAUUUGAAGAAGGUUGAGCUCUAUGGUGACUGCAACCCACAGCCCCUGCGAGACCAGAUGUGGAGGAGGUUGUAUUUCCAGUCCCUGCGAGACCAGAUGUGGAGGAGGUUGGAUUUCAAGCACAACGGACAGCAAGUGUUAGUGCAAAGACACUUUGAAGACGUGGUUGCUGUUUGA
rnacentral:rRNA from 1 species